rnacentral:rRNA from 1 species
UACGAAGGGGGCUAGCGUUGCUCGGAAUCACUGGGCGUAAAGCGCACGUAGGCGGAUUUGUAAGUCAGGGGUGAAAUCCCGGGGCUCAACCUCGGAACUGCCUUUGAUACUGCAAAUCUCGAGUCCGGAAGAGGUGAGUGGAAUUCCUAGUGUAGAGGUGAAAUUCGUAGAUAUUAGGAAGAACACCAGUGGCGAAGGCGGCUCACUGGUCCGGUACUGACGCUGAGGUGCGAAAAGCGUGGGGAGCAAACAGG